UCAAAGACUCUAAAGAUACCUAGGGAAGA
rnacentral:piRNA from 1 species